GACGAACGCUGGCGGCGUGCUUAACACAUGCAAGUCGAACGGAAAGGCCCUGCUUUUGUGGGGUGCUCGAGUGGCGAACGGGUGAGUAACACGUGAGUAACCUGCCCUUGACUUUGGGAUAACUUCAGGAAACUGGGGCUAAUACCGGAUAGGAGCUCCUGCUGCAUGGUGGGGGUUGGAAAGUUUCGGCGGUUGGGGAUGGACUCGCGGCUUAUCAGCUUGUUGGGGGGGUAGUGGCUUACCAAGGCUUUGACGGGUAGCCGGCCUGAGAGGGUGACCGGCCUCAUUGGGACUGAGAUACGGCCCAGACUCCUACGGGAGGCAGCAGUGGGGAAUAUUGCACAAUGGGCGGAAGCCUGAUGCAGCAACGCCGCGUGCGGGAUGCCGGCCUUCGGGUUGUAAACCGCUUUCGCCUGUGACGAAGCGUGAGUGACGGUAAUGGGUAAAGAAGCACCGGCUAACUACGUG
rnacentral:rRNA from 1 species